GCACAUCACGAUAGUAGUCUGGUAUCACAAUAGUAGCCUGGUAUCACUCAAGUUAAAUGACCUGUGUGUGGGUAUGACUGUUUACAUACCUGUAUGUAUAUGAAGCCUUCAUGAAAUCCAACAUGAAAAUAUAUCUGGUUAUGCAAAAUUAAUUAAUAGUUCACUGUUUCCAUUUUGGGAACAUGUUAUCAAUACCAAACAUACUAUAAAUCCAGAAACUAUCAAAACAGGACAGUGAACAGAAAAGGUGCAUUGAAAGGUUGCUGACAGCAUCAAGUUUAUCAGAUGAACAUAGAUGGAGAGAGUAUAUUGCUUACCUGUUAUGCUUUCUUAAGAAUGAGAACUGUUGCCAAUGAUGAAGAUGGUGAUGCUGACUUUGAGAACUGUGUAGGACUGCUGUUGGCCAGAGGCAGUGCUUUUACUGUUUAAAAACAGCAAAAACAGCAUAGCGGAAAAAGGAUGCACAUGAAGCAAGGCAUUACUUAAAACAGAAGACAGAAGCAUCCCAGUUCUGAUGUCCUCGACAAGUUCUCCUCAUAUCUUGGCAAAUCACAAAUAUUCCUUCAGCUCUAUAUCCCUGCAGAUCUGCUGCCAAACCAGAAGCACUUUGCUUUUAGAAAUACAUCUCUGCAGCUAUUUGACUUACCCUAAAUUUACAAGGUGUGUGCAUAUCUAAGAUCCAUCACUCCUAAU